GCUCGGGUCCUGUGCAUCGGCCGGUUCCGAACCUCGUCAGGCCCGGAAGGGAGCAGCGAUAAGGUACCUCCGCCGAGUGCCGCAGAUCGGCCGGAGCCC
rnacentral:SRP_RNA from 2 species